rnacentral:rRNA from 1 species
UACGUAGGGUGCAAGCGUUUAAUCGGAAUUACUGGGCGUAAAAGCGUGCGCAGGCGGCUUUGCAAGACAGAUGUGAAAUCCCCGGGCUUAACCUGGGAACUGCAUUUGUGACUGCAUGGCUGGAGUGCGGCAGAGGGGGAUGGAAUUCCGCGUGUAGCAGUGAAAUGCGUAGAUAUGCGGAGAACACGAUGGCGAAGGCAAUCCCCUGGACCUGCACUGACGCUCAUGCACGAAAGCGUGGGGACAAA